rnacentral:rRNA from 1 species
CCUACGGGGGGCUGCAGUGGGGAAUAUUGGACAAUGGGCGAAAGCCUGAUCCAGCAAUGCCGCGUGAGUGAAGAAGGCCUUCGGGUUGUAAAGCUCUUUUACCCGGGAAGAUAAUGACUGUACCGGGAGAAUAAGCCCCGGCUAACUCCGUGCCAGCAGCCGCGGUAAUACGGAGGGGGCUAGCGUUGUUCGGAAUUACUGGGCGUAAAGCGCACGUAGGCGGCUUUACAAGUCAGGGGUGAAAGCCUGCGGCUCAACCGCAGAAUUGCCCUUGA